rnacentral:rRNA from 1 species
CUUAGUGCGGACGGGUGAGUAACGCGUGGGGAACCUGCCCUGUACAGGGGGAGUAACACUUAGAAAUAGGUGCUAAUACCGCAUAAGCGCACAGUAUCGCAUGAUACAGUGUGAAAAACUCCCGGUGGUACAGGAUGGACCCGCGUCUGAUUAGCUGGUUGGCGGGGUAACGGCCCACCAAGGCGACGAUCAGUAGCCGGCCUGAGAGGGUGAACGGCCACAUUGGGACUGAGACACGGCCCAAACUCCUACGGAAGGCAGCAG